rnacentral:lncRNA from 1 species
UAUUGAUUCUCUUCUCCUGAUUGUUGGAUAAUGUCUCAGGAGGCAUUUGAAUAUCAACAUACCUCUUCUCUUUCCUAUUCACCUUGGUUGUGAAUAUUUGAAGCUGAAUCAUUAUAGAGGCUUGAAGCAUGAAUUGAAGCUCUUUCUGUUCUGAGGAAGAAUAUUUUGGUCUCAUAUCCAUUUUGUGAUGAUGGCAUUCUCGUUUCUAAUAUUUGUCCCUAUAAACUGAAAAAACUUAAAAUAGAUUUUUUUUUUAAUUUUAUCUGGGGGUUGAAAACUAAAGCAUCAUUGUUGGUAUUAGACUAAAUAGAUCAAAGCUUGAGAUCUUGGCUUCUACUUUGUAUUGUGCUUUCCGUGGUUAGCCCACAUUUUCACCUUUCCUUUAGGUGUGCUUGAGGUGAUGAUUUGUGCAACUUGGUAGUGGACAGUCAAUGGUGGCUACCUUUUGUGGAUAUUGGUAAUAUUUUUAACUGUUGCUUUGAUUGGAAGAUUUCUUUCGAGAUUUUCAUAUCUGAAAUAUGCAAAAAUGCAGCUGAAUUGUAUGAUCAUCUUUUUCUCCAUUGUAAUAUUCCCUAAUCUUAUCUUUAAUGUCUCGACCUAGUGAGUAUAACUUGGACCCAUUCAAUGUCCCCUUCACUAGAUCAUCUUCUCCUGGCUAUCAUGGUGCUUCUUUGUGAAAGGGGGGCAGUGAAUGUGGUCAUUUGUUAUGUGCUUAGAAGUGGGAAAGGUUGGAUUUUGACAAUUAGUUGGACUUGAUAGGCUUCAUUAUAAAUAAGAUUUCCAUGAUUUGGGCCCCUAUCUCUAAUAUGGGACCAUAUCAGUUUUGUUCUUAGAGAUUGGAACUGUUUUUAGCUUUGCUCAUUGAGUCAUUCUAACUCCUUUUAUCCUUUGAGUUCUUUAAUUUAUGGUUUUGAUAGGUUUUCUUUAUCAAGGGUUUUCAAAAUAAUCUUAUUGUUAAUAGUUAAAGAGCCCAUUGUUCUUUUAUAGGCAAAUGAGAAUUAGUAUUAAUAGCACCUAAGAGGAGAUGUACCAAAUUACACACGAUGUAUAAGAUAGACGCCUAAUUUAAGCGAGAAUAGGUCAACAAAAAGGCACCCUUUCCUUACUUGAAGCUUAGCUAAUCUAUAAGAUCUAUCAUUGACAUUGAUUGGUUCUCUAUGUACGCACUAACUCAAUUCACAAAAGUAUACAUGAAAUCAGAUUUGAUUGCUUGGUCAAAUUACUUAACAUCAUUAAAUAACCUUCUAUUCCAUAACUUGCCAAGAGACUAAAACAAUUACAAUGGAGCAGCUCUCCUAGUUUUUUUUUUUUUUCUGCUUCUUGCCUGCAAAAGACUUGUGCCACCCCAAAAGGUUCUCUUUCACAUAAGAGUGCAUUACCCAAACCUCUCCAAAGAGAGAAUAUCAAUUGCCCCAACAUUCUAGCUUUGGAACAGUGAAGUAGCAGAUGGUCCAUUGUUUCCUCUUCACCUUUGUACAAAAAACACCUAUUUGACAAAUUCCAUCCCCUCCUUUGGGCUGAUCAAGUGUUAGAAUUCUGCCCUAAGUUGCUUCCCAAGUAAAGAAACCUACCUUCAUAGGUGCCCAUGUACUCCACACUACAACCUUUGGGAAAGGCUUUCAAUAUCCCAUUGUUAAACAUGCAUAUAGAGAUCUAACCGAGAAAUUGCGAUGCUUGGUUUCAUUCCUACUCAAUUUGUCUUCCUCUUCCCUUCUAAUUGGCAAGGAAUGGAGUUUCCGUCAUAAGAAAUUCUCAACUUCCACAAGUUCCCAAUCAUUGAAUUUCCCAGAAAAAUUGGGUUUCCAACCACCCCUUCCCCACCUUGCUCCCUCACAUCCGCUACCCAAUCAUUUUUGUCCAAAGCUAUAGAGAAUAAAGUCAGGAAGGCUCAUUCCAAGGGUAAAUUAUCACACCAAAUAUCAUUUCAAAAUUUUACCCUUUUCCCAUUCCCAACUUUGGAAUGAUACCUGCUUUUAAUAACCUCCCACCCUUUUCUAAUAGCUUUCCUAUUGUGAUUUGCAUCUAUAAGGACUUUCUUUUUAUUGCAAAUCUCCAACUCCACUUACCAAGCAAAUCCUUAUUUAAAAUGGAUUAAAGAGCUCACCUGUAUUUGAUUUAAAAUUGUUUAGUUUGAUGAUAUCUCUUUGUGUGCCCUUCCCAUGUGGGACAAAUGGACAAUUUCUAAAGCACUUUAAGCAUUAUCUUCUCUGAAAAGAACAUCCAUCUUGGUUUUCUGAAAACAAGAAAACACAAUUGUUAUGGAAGUCUCCAAUUUUCUUUGGCUAACCCAGGUCACCUUGGCAAUAUUGGUUCCCUUCAGAAUUUUACUAUGCUAAUAAAGAAGAAUCAUGAGCAUUUUUCUUGUGUCAAUGGGAAGCUUUCAAGCUUAUAGUUUGUAUUUUUUAUUGUGGAAGGUGACAUUUCCAACAUCAUCUAGUGGAGUAAAGAUUGUACUGUAAAAGCUUGUAGACUCUCUGUCCUUUUGAAUAAGCUGUAGGUAUUCCUAACUUCUUGGAUGUUUCUUAUCCAUGGGUUUCUGAGUCUGCUUAUUGUGAACUUAAUUUUAAUACUGAUAGUGGAGCUGUGACUUUUUAAUUUGUGGGAGCUUGAUGUUACCCUAGUUUAUUGUUCUAAUAGUUUUCAUUCUUUUAUUCUAUUUUUUCUGCUUUUUAUUGGCCUUAUCUCUUUGAGGAUUUUUUUUCCUUCUUUAAUCUUCUUCUCUUAGACCUUGUCUUUGUAUUUUUAUCUUCCUGUUAAUAAGUUUAGUUGCCCAAUUCAACAAUUGGCUGCUAUGUUUAUAGGCAUUUUAACUUUGUUUGAUAUGCCCCACUUUUUACUCUCAGAAUCUGGGAUAGAUAAUCUCUGCAAGAUAUUAAGCACUUUAGUUCACUUUCUAAAAAAAUGGUUGAUUUUGGUAUUUUAAAUUCAUUAACUUUCAGUAGCUGCUUAUAUGUUGUGAGAUUGCUCUAAAAAUCUUACCCCUUCUAAAUAGUCCUCAGCAUCUAGUUGUACAUAAAAUAUUUCUUUAAAGUUCAAAUUGCAUAAUUUGUUUCCAUUAAUAUUUAUCCACUGUAAUAAAUUAUUAUUAUUAUGUCAUUAUUUACCUACUAGAGAUGCACUUUUUUAUUUUUUAAAUAAAAUAAAAAAUGAAAUAUUCCAUCUAUAUUUGUUUUGGUUUUUUUCUUGCAAUACCAGUUCCCCGCCAUGACAGGCACAACCGUAAAGUAAGAUACUUUUAGGAAACAAUUAUGAAUUAGUAAUGGAUGAAAUUUCACAUUUGUGCUUGUAGAUAGUGCAAUUCUCUCUCUUAUAAAAUUUGAAAUAUGGUGUUUGCAUUUUAUUUCAGGGUUUACAUUUACGGAAGUCAGCUCCGUUAGAGCGAGUGCAAGUAAAGUUAUCUGUUGCCACUUCUCAUCAGAUGGAAAACUGCUUGCUAGUGGUGGCCAUGAUAAAAAGGUAAGUGCCAAGAGGAUUAAAGUAUCCUAUAUUAUUAAAAGUGAAUGUUGAAGAGCACUAAACAUGUGAUGAAGGGGGAGCUCAAAUGCUUCAUCGUGUUGCAUAGUUAGGAUCAUAGAAGAAUAACUGAACUAGUUUUCUUAAUGGUCUUAAAUGCAGGCAGUAUUGUGGUAUACAGACACUUUAAAGACAAAAACUACACUUGAAGAACAUUCAAUGUUAAUCACUGAUGUCCGUUUCAGUCCGAGCAUGCCGCGUCUUGCAACAUCUUCAUUUGACAAAACCGUCAGGGUUUGGGAUGCUGACAGUGUCAGUGGACUAGUUCUUCUUUUUGUAGUUCUGUGUGUUUUCUUUGGUUUUCUAAUGUUAGUGUUUUUGUAAGAAUAUUUUGCUUCUGAAUGUUCUGUCUGGAGCAUUGGUUUAUUGGAGUUGACCUGGUUACAUCUAGGAUUAUAUUGACCUAUCAAGUUUGUCAACUUGGUGGUGUUUGAUUACUCAUUUAUUGUACUGUUUUUGUGAGAGAAUGCAUUUUACAUAUUUAUAUUAGAAAGUUGGUUGCUUGAAGAUAACAAAAUUGAAACUGUGCAUGUUUUUGGCUGUUUGUUUGUAAUCCAUGACUUCUAAACUGUGAUUGUUUUCCUGUUGGUGGUGGAGUUCCCUAGUUUAGUUUGUCAACAAUGAAUAGAAAAAAGAGAGAAGGGCUGUUAGGAGAGAGGAGUUUUCUUUGUGCCCACAAAAAAUGAUCGCCUUAAAAGAUUGAGGUGAUUUGGUGAGAAGAAAGAGAGAUUAAGCACCACUUUCCUACACUGGAUUUAUUUUUAUUUUUUUACAAAGGAGCCUAGUGUGGUUCAUUAUUCUAUUUCUUUUUUCCUUCUCUGUCCAUUUUCUGUUUAUGUGAAGUGCUUGAAUUUUCUCCUUUUCUCUCAUCUUUAAGUGGUGGGAAAAAAAAAGAUUACUAGUUUUUGAUAGGAACAUGUUUUUCUUUUACAUCUUUUUUGUGUUUUGGGGUUGAGAUUGUUUGAAGAAUAAUGCAUCCUUCAGUUUGUACUGUUACAUUUAUUCCUGUCAAAUCAAUUGUUUGUUUCAAUCACAAAAGGAAAAAAAUGGUAAAAUUUAGUAUAUUGCACCAUACAAUUGCCAUAUAAAUGAAGAUGGGGGCAUUUUCCUCUGUUGUUGCCUUGUAGCUCAAAUAGUGUUUUCUUGCUUUCCAAUAUAUGUUGGGAUGUUUGCAAUGCUGUGGGGUGGUGUUCUGCAUCAUGCAGCAAUGCAAAUGAUCAAGAUGAUACUUGCCAGAUUAGCGCUUUCAUUUUUUGAUGCAUUUACAGAUGAACAAUGAAUACCUAGCGUAUAUUUUGGUCGGUAAUAGUUAGUGAAUCAGGCUGAUGCUGUGAUAUAUCACCUUUAGAAAAGAUACGGGAAAUAUUUACAAUAAGAUUUCUAACAUGUAUUAUUUCCCCUACUUUUAAAACUUAUGAUAGCUUAGCCAAGGGAUUGGCCGUGAUGGACGUGUAAUGCUAUUACAAAAAGUGAUUAUUUCCCACUCCUUUACCAAGUUCUAGGGAUAAUUAUUGACGCAUGCUAAUUGUACACAUCUAGCAUCCUUGGGUGGUGCACCCUCUAUCAUACAUUUGCCCAGAAAAAAAAAAGAAAAAAGAAAGAAAAAUCACCUUCGCUGCUUUCAUGAACUGGCAUUUCUUCAUUAAUGAAAUAUAUUGGGGACUUUACAUUGUCCUCUUAGUUGUGCAGCUUGUGCCACAACAUCAACUUGAUUGCGAAACCUCCCAAUUCUAUCAGUUAUCAAUUUAAUGUUUUUAAUGAUAAAAUAAAUAGAUUAUAUAUAUAUGUAUGGUAAUAGGCACAUGUUAAGGGUACCAUACCUGUGUGCUUGUAUGUAUGGGUGCACAGGUAUGUGGACAUAUGAGUGUGUGUACUGUUUCACUAAGAAAUAGAUCUGCAUAUAAUUUGGAUUUCAUGUUUAAAUACAAUGUGAUUUGUGCGUGUACGCAUUUAUUGCUUAUAGUGUAAUGUGCCAGGGCUACCUUUUGUCCUUAUUUGCAUUAUUCAUAUGGAUGUGAGAUUUGUAAUUUGUGUACUGGGCCUACUGGCUUAUUACUGACAGCUGCUUGUUUUUAUUCCUUGUAAAUUGGCUGUACCGUCAAAUCUUUUACUUUUUAAUUUUCCUUUUAGUCUGUCUAUAUGCUUAUGUGUUGGUAUGACUCCUAAUUGUACUUGAUGUCGUCUCAACUUUAUAUAUGACUUAUUCUGCAGACUAGUUACUCGCUACGUACUUUUACUGGACAUUCUGCGUCUGUUAUGUCGUUGGACUUCCACCCGAAUCAAGAUGAUCUCAUCUGCUCUUGUGAUGGAGAUGGUGAGAUACGAUACUGGAAUAUUAAGAACGGUAGCUGUGCAAGGGUAUUCAAGGUAGAAACUAGUUCAUGUUGGUUUAUGCAUUUCAUAAAUUAUGUAAGCCUUGGAGGGGUAUGGACAUUCUUGGAGAAUUCUAAUUUUCUUCAUUUCAAUUAGGGUGGUACGGCCCAAAUGAGAUUUCAACCUCGUCAUGGAAGAUAUCUUGCAGCAGCUGCAGAGAACGUUGUAUCGAUACUGGACGUGGAGACACAAGCUUGUCGGCAUUCAUUACAGGUUAGUAUAUUUUUCAAUGUCAUUAUACAAUUUAACCAAGGACAAUAUGAAAAAAUGCCUACAAAGAAAGUGUCAUUCUUUUUUCACAGAGAAAAAAAAAAAAAAAAAGAGAAAGCAAAUGACACUAUAAGAACUUUCAUAAAAAAAUGCCUAUAAAAAAAGUCCAUUAUUUUAAAUUUUUUUAAAUUUAAAUCUUGUAGAGUUAUUUUACGUGGAAUUGAUUUUGGAACUUCCCUUUCGUAAUCCCACUUGGGCCAUUCCCCCGCCUCUCUCUCUCUCUCUCUCUCUCUUUUCCCUUUCCUUUUUUCUUGUUUUGUGGUUCCCUGAUGGGACAUAAGUUUGUAGUGUGAUAUAUACACAAUACAACACAUGAUACAUGAUACUAUAAUACUGUUGGUUUUGACUAUUUUUGGUAAUUUCCUAAAUAAUUGAAUUUGACUUACCUUUAGUAGUGCCCUCUGGGCUGUAACUCUGCAGUGAUCUAUGGCAUUGGACUAGAGGGCUUGAGUUUGAGCCUCCCAUUUAACUAGGUGUUGUAGGGUGGAGGGACAGGGGGCGUGGGGCAGUUGGAAUAACUGCCUCACUGUUGGAGUGAGUUCUCCAUUUUCAGGGGAAAAAAAAGAAAACUCGAAUUUGGAAAAGAUUUUCUUAAAAAAAAAGUUAUUAUAUUAAUUUAGAAUAUAAUUUAAAUUCAGAAAUGGUUGAUGAAAAAGAAGGGAUAAGAUGAUGCUGCAAGAGAACACUACAUAUGUGUUGUUAAAGGACCAUGUGAAAGAUUAUAGCUUAGGUAUAAUUAUAUCCAUAAUGAAUAUUUGGAAGGUGCUAUGCGAGUGAUUUGAUCAAUGUGCCCUUGAAGUGAAUGAAGAGUUUUACUCAAUAUAUUAAUUUCUUUUUCAAAUGUUUUUUCUUUUAGGGGGAGGACAUUUUUUAUGAGUUCACAAUACAGAAGAAUACGAAAAUGAUAUAAAAUACAAUUUAUUAGCUCACAAGUAUGUUAUCCUGGAUUUACUGAGAGAAUGGAUUCUGAAAGGUGGGUUCCAAUAAUUAUGUAUCAAUCACUUUUUCCCUUGAAAAUCUCCCUAUGGAUGGGUGUGGUGGUUGCCUUUAUAAGGUGGGGAAUUCCAAAUUCAAUGAUUUAGAAUCACUUUUAUUUGUAAAAAGGCUUCUCCCAUUUAUGAAUUGUUGAAAACAAGGACUUUAUGUGUUAAGAGUCAAAACUGAAAUAAGGGAGUUGAGGAUUUUUUCUGAUAGAAUGAUCUGAUUGUUGCUCAUUGGAUAUGGAAAAUUUGACCCUCUGAAUUUUAUGAGGCUGCAAAUUCCUUGCUACUCGUAUAUGUGCCAUUUCAAUUAGAAAUGUAAUUGAAAAUUUUGUAGACUUGCCCUUUCUAUUUGAAAGAUACCUUAUUGUAUAGUUAUUCACUUAUUCAAACUGUAAUACAAUUCAGAAUUCAUUUUGAUGUAUUUAAAAAAUAAUAUAAAGUAGAAAAUUCAGAUAACUUUCAAACCUCAAAAGCUGACAGACAGGUUAUUUUAAAAUUUAACAUAUAUGCGGGUUUGAUAAAUUCAAUGUUUUUUCUAUACUUGAUAAAUGCUAUUUAGUUGAUGAAAUGUGUAGUAUAGAUAGACUUUUGAAGGUUCUUAGGAUAUAAAUAUCCAUCUUAUGGACCUUGAUGAGUUCUGAUCAUUAUCAUGUAAAAUUUUUUCUUCCCCUUCCUUGUUGUCCCUUUUCCUUUUUCUUUCUGAUAAGAAAACGAGUCAAAUAUUGUAAUGAAAGCACCAGAAAUAGGUGCCGCGAGGUUUACAUGAUGUCUCUUAUAUGUGAUAGGCCUUCUGACAUGGGUUUGUAAUGCUAGGGACAUACAAAACCAAUUCAUUCUGUCUGCUGGGAUCCUUCUGGUGAGUUCUUGGCAUCUGUAAGUGAGGAUUCUGUCAGAGUUUGGACGCUUGGAUCAGGAAACGAAGGGGAGUGUGUUCAUGAGUUGAGUUGUAAUGGCAACAAGUUCCACUCCUGUGUUUUUCACCCAACAUAUUCAUCAUUGCUGGUCAUCGGUUGUUACCAGGCAAGUCAUUUGUCCUUUUGCUUAAAUUCCUUUAUACUUGUUUAUUGUUUACUUGAGCAUUAGUCAGCACUAUAUUUUUCUCUAUGGUAUUGCUUUAUGUGCAAAAGUAUUCAGUUAAUUUAAGAUUCUAAUAAAGAUGGCAUUAAACCUGCAUGGGUCAUACUGCCAUAUGUAGGGAGAUUUUGUCAAAUCUAAAACAGGAAUCCUUAGAUCUUUACUCAAACACCUAUGCCUACUUUUUCCCUUGUACAUUUAUUUAGUAAAUAAACUGUCAGGACCCAUCAACUACUCAAAUAUCUAUAAGCACAAUUUCCCUCUAUCUUUUCCAGCAAAUAAACUGUCAGGACCCCCCAUAGGUUUCUGCAUCCCUUUUGAAAGAUCUAAGUGGGAAAAUGAGGGCAUUGUGAAUUUAGACCAUUUAAUUUUCCUUAUAUUUCCAACAGUAGAGAUUUUCUUGAAGAGGCCAUGCAAGUCCUUGAACUUCAAAGAAUUUAAUUUCUAAUCAUUUUAGUAUUGUUAUUUGCUACAGUCUCUAGAGCUUUGGAACAUGAGCGAGAACAAGACAAUGACUCUUUCAGCUCAUGAUGGACUAAUAGCUGCCUUGGCUGUAUCAACUGUGUCUGGCUUGGUUGCUUCAGCUAGCCAUGACAAGAUUGUCAAGCUCUGGAAGUGAUUCAACUGUUUUUGUCAUGGUAAAAACUGCCUCUGCAAUUCAGGACUAGAUUUCUUUUCAGUGUUUGAUCAAAAGCUGGUCUAGUAUACAAAUCUAUUUUGGUUGAUCAUUCUGUCCGUUUUGUGUUUUGCCUUUUUGGAUCUCAACUUCAUCUCCUUGUAGUCCUGGAUAUUGACCUUGUAUUGUUGCUGUGUUAUGUCUAUCUUUUUACUCUUUGCUAACAUUGGACUUUCUAGUUACGUUUUUAGAAACGAUUGUGUAAUGAUUUGUACUCUAUAAAAAGGUAUGUGUUUUAGUUCCUGAUAGUCUUUCUAUUUUGUUUAUUCUAAUUUAUAUUGUUUCAUUUGAGACCAUGCCCUUCUGGAUACCAAACAUGGUUUUACAUUGGCUCAGCAAACUUGGGUUUUGCCUGAACUUUAUCUUGGUUCAUUCUAAGGUUUUAGCCAAAUAUGAAUUUGAUCAUCGAAUCGUAAUUUCCUGACCAAUCUCGAAACCAUGAUCAAAAUUCGAAACGAUUCUUUGUCCCCUCAAUCUCAUUCUCUUCAAGAAGAGGAAUGAAAGGGAAAGGUUACAUGGGCCCGACUGAUUCAUGAGCCAGUCAUGGGUGCUGUUGGACUGAAUCAGCUCCGAUCUGUCAUCCUAUGUGUAUCUUCAAAGGGCCCAUUAUGUUUUAGAUCUUUAUUCUCUUCAAGAUGUAUUUUCAUAUUUUGUCAGCUCUAUUUUGUUUGUGUAUCAAAAUCACUAUGUGCUCGGUUGUCGAAUGUACUUGGCUGUCAAAUGUACAGAAUCAUUUUUUCAAUUUAUUUUUGCCAUAGUUUCAAAUGGGUUCAUUGGACAGGACAUGGUUGUCAUGUUGUGCAAGGAAAUGUUUUCUUGUUGGUAGUUAGAAACCAGAAUUGAGCCUAUAGGCAACAGACUAAGUUUUCCUCCAGCAUUUAUUUCAUUGAUGGCCAUGGGCUGCGAGCAAAAAGUACCACCCUUGAUAGGAUUUGCCCAACAAUUAUAUCUGUACCACUUCUGCAGAUUGGGUAAAACAAGGUCUCCUGCACUGGAGUCUUCUGCUAUCAGAAACUAACACACUGCUUAACAUUAGAAACUGGUUAGAAUUUUUACCCGCGAUCUGCAUUUGCAUUCUGAACAUUGUUGUUUUAUGCUUGAAUUGUGAAAAACCCUCGGAAUUUCUAACGUAAAAACAUGGAUGUUCUGAAAGGAUGGUUGUGACUGAUGAGAGUCCCUUUUUCAGUCCUCUUGAUUAGUUGGAGUUGAAAUAAAAUGGAAAGUAAGAUCUUGGCAUUGUCCUCCCUGUUCAAACAUGGACAGUCACUGGGUAUCAUCAUCACCAAUCUGUCUCAUUAUCAGUUUCUUUAGUUUAAACCAUGAGACUAGAAUCAAUGUUCGGAACCCGCAGGUGGGUUAUCAAGAUUAAUCAUGGGGACCAUUGGUAGAUGAUAUAAUCAAUCAAAGCAUUCUUUCCCCUUCCCGUUUCCUCUCUUCUCAAGCAAACAUCAUAUGAUUACAGUAGGAGUAGGUAAAACAUUCAAGAUAAUGCAAAGGCUAGCUCCUAAAAUCCACUCUACCUGGGUCAUUGAUGAUAACACCUGGGCUGAAGCAGAAAAUGAAAUGAUACAUGCAUCCUCUUCAGGAAUGUCCUUGUGUGAGGUGACCAUUUGUUUUUCUUUGCUUGGGAGUUGGAAUCCAUGUACCCAAUAUCUUCUAUACUUUUUGUUGGGGUCUCCAUCUUCUCUGAUUGAGUAAAAUAUCCUGCUUUGAUUUGAGGGGAGGAAAAAAAAAUGAAGAAAUUAUUUUUAAUUCAUUUUGAUUACCUAUUGUCAUGGUGUUGGUGACUGAAUGAGGUACAAAAUUAUUAAAAUAAGCAGAAUUCAUUUUUAUAAUACUUUCUUCGAUUUUUUUUUUUUUUUUUUGGUUGCAAUCAUCACUUAAAAAAUGUUGUGCAGUUGAGAAAUAAUGAAAUUUAUUCAAUAUAAAUAAAGAUCCAUUUUAUAAUUGUGUUAGAAUGAUUUGAUAUACGUUUCAAUUAAUAAACGAGAUAAAUUAGAUUGUGUAUGAAUUGAUACAAAUAACUCAUUAAUAUGUCUUAAUUAAUAAAUGAGAUAAGUUAGAUGGUGUAUAAAUUGAUAUUGAUAAUCUGUAAAUAUGGUUUCAACUUGUUAAAUGUCUUGGUACGAUUUUAACUUCUUAAAUUUGUUAAUAUGUUUAUAGUCCAUUUAACUUAUUUAAAAUGCUUUGUUUCUUUUAACUUUGAAGUUCAACUUUUAAAAUUUUAAUUAAUUCAAUUGCUUAUAAAUAAAUUUUUUAACUUUACACUGGUUAUCAUUUUCAAUGUUUUUAGAACUUGACCAGUUAUUGAAUCACAAAAGUUGUCGGUUCGGUGGUUGAAUUAUGAUUAAAUUGAUAAUGUCAUAAAUAUAUAAUUUAUAUAUUAUUAAAAUUAAAAAUAAUUAUAUAUAUUUUAAAAUAUAUAUAAAUAAAUUAAAAAAAUCAAUAAUAUUUAUUUUUUAUCUUAUGUAUGAGUAUAAAUGUAUUAAUAUUUUAAAUUUUAAUAAAUAAAAUAUGUAUAAUAUUUAAAUGUGAACAUAUUAAAAAUGAAAAACAAUUUAAUUAUUCAAUUUUAACUAAUUUUAUUUAAUUUUAAAAAAUUUAUAUUAUUUUUAUGUGAUAUUAUAAUUUUUUUUAUUAAACAUUAUAUUUCUUUAUAAAAAAUAACAAGUUGGAUGUAGUCGAGUGGUGUGUUAGCUCAUUUAAUGAGUUUGAGGUUGAGGUUUAAAUCUUUUAAGGAAUUGGAGAGGGUUGGGUUUAUUUUAAUGAAUAAAAGGAGGGGUCAUUAAAUCGUUUGGUUUUCUCUGAGGGUUUGUUUGAAUGGAUAAAAGAAGCAUUGAACAGUUUGAUUUGCCAAUUAUUGUCCGAUUCAUUGGUGCAAUUCAGGCAGUUCGUGGUCGGUUCAAUGGCUAAGUAGUUCAUAAGAUCAAAUUGAAUCGAAAGGGUUAUCGAUCGGUUGUUGGAUUGAUCCAUCCAGUCUAGUUUUCAAAAUAUUGAUUAUUUUAUUUAUAAUAAAAUCAAUAAAAUUUUACUAGAUUAGUUAUUUAAUUUUUUUUUUUACUAUAUGAGAAUUUUUAAUUUUUUUAAUUUUAUAUAUAUAUAUAUAGUCAUAAAUGAGUUGACAUGAUGAAAUAAAUUUAUUGAAGUUAUAGAGGGGUCACGAUUAAGUAAACGAGUUAUAUAAUUUGACACAAUUAUAAACAAUAUUACCCUUAACAUAAACUCACUAAAAUUUAUAUAGUUUUGAAUUGUAUUACUAUAUCAUGUUAAAAUUAUCGUCCCUAAAUUUUAACCUUAACAUUAAUUCGCUCUUUGAGAUUUGAGAAAGAAUACAAAGGUGACCUUAACCAUGAAAUAAACCAAAAUGAAGCAUUUUUCAAUGAGAAAACAUAAUCCCCCACCCAACAUAAUUUGGACUUUGGCCUCUCCCUCUCCUGUUUUAUCAUAUCAAGGGCGUUUGAUGAGGUCUUAUAAUUGUUUAGAAAGAAAUAUUCUCUUCAAAUUGAUAAAUGAUAGUUUUUUUUCCAUCAUUCUUUCAUUCGUUCAUAUACAGAGUAUAUAUAGAGGAUAAUCACCAUUCUAAAAAUGGAAAAAAAUGAUACAAGCAAAUAACAACUAAUAUCCUAAUAUCUCAACUUUCCUAAUAUCUCGAUAUUCCUAAUAUCUCAAUAUUUCUAAUAUCUCAAUAUUCAUAAUAUCUCAAUUUUCUUAAUAUCUAAAUAUUCCUAAUAUUUCAACACUAAAUGAUAUAACGAAACAUUCCUAAUAUCUCAACAUAUUCAAGGGUUCAUCAAAUCAUCCAUGACCUCUAAUCCUCGAGAAAAAUGGAUAUGAAUCUUAAUGGGCACCUAAUGAAUGAGUGUUGGACCCACUGGAUCUCACACUCCACACCCUGCAUUCUCUUGUGGAACCGAAUUUCCUCAGCACGGGGCUAUGAAUCUGAAUUCAAGCCCACUCUUCAAACUGUGACAGUUUUGUGAAUGAUGCAAUGAUUUAGAAGUAGCAGUUCCCUGUGUUUAAUAAAUUUUACUCCUAACCGAUCCCAUCUGCCCUUUUCAUCACCGGGCUCACUUGCAUUGCCUGUAGUUUGCAUGGCGGUUUGGCCCUUCCACUUGAGCACCAAUCAAUUUCUACACUGGAUUGAAAGCAUAGUUUUAACUGCUCAGGUGAUAAAAAGAACAUAUCAAGGAGAGAAGUGCCGACGUUAAACCUUUUUCUCUCUUUCCCUUCUCGGUCAGGGAGUGGGGUGGGGUAGAAUGAGGGAGGUGGUAUUUCAGACAUGUCAGAGCUGGUCUGGAAUAUAAACUUCGUAGGAUUACAUUAUUGUUUUUUGAUAGGCUUCUUAGGAUUACAGUUUUGAUUGGGUCCUAAUAUAAUUCCCUGGCCUUGAUGCAUUUUAAGGCUUCAAAAGACCAGACUGGGAGAAAGUGAAAGCAGCCUGUUACAUCUUCUGGUCCAACCAAUAAGCUCAGGACUGCAAGCGCAGCAGGACCCUCCCAAGCUCAGCACACAGUGGUUGCUCUUCAAAACCAUUGAUGAUGUUGGGCACUGAUGGUACUGGAACUCUUACAUAACCGUCGUAUCAGUUGGUGAGCAAAGUCUUUACCUUCUUGUAUUUACAGAAGGGAUUUUUUAUUUACUCGCAUGAAUUCUCAAUGGUAUUCCUUUUUGGCAGUGGGAUGAUAAAAAUCUUGAAUUGCAGGCUGAUAUGGAUCGUUUUGUGGGAGACGGUUCCCUUGAUGAUAAUGUCGAGUCUUUUUUAUCUCAUGAUGAUACAGAAGUAAAGGUGAGGUGGUGGCCAGAUUUCUGGACCGUUUAGGAAAAUCUAACAGGCCUUAUAAGAGACCUGGGUCUUUUUCCAAAUGUGACUGAAAAAAGAGCUUCUAGCUCCCUCAGUCAUUCCCUCUGCAUUUCUGUACGUAUCAGCAGAACUGUCAAGAUAGUCUCUCCAUCGUUGAGGAGUUCCUCCUAACUAACAUUUUUCACUCUGCAACAAGUAACAACCUCUGUAUGUAAAAAGAAAACAUUGACGGUCUUAAUUGCUGCUUACACAUUUCGAUGUUUCUACAUACUGCUAUUUAGCUCCCAUGAUUAGUAGGCUUCCAAAAUUGGCUGACUAAAAAUAUUUCUGACUCUCUUCUCCUGAUUGAUGGAUAAUGUCUCAGGAGGCAUUUGAAUAUCAACGUAGCUCCUCUUUCCUAUUCACCUUGGUUGUGAACUUUUGAAGCUGAAUCAUUAUAGAGGCUCGAAGCAUGAAUUGAAGCUCUUUCUGUUGGAAGAAUAUUUUGGUGUCUCAUAUCCAUUUUGUGAUGAUGGCAUCCUAGUUUUUGAUAUUUUUUUUAUUAUCUGGUGUUUGAAAACCAGUAGGCCCGAAUCUUGGUGAAAUCCGAAGGGAAGGACUUACCUGAAUCGCUACAGGUGGUGGUAGGCUUUUCUUGUUUUGCCGUUCGGUAGUGGUGGA